GCGUGAGAGAAAACUAGUCUAGGGCGGCGCCAACACGGUCCACGGGGACCGCUGCUCGGCGCAACUGCCGCUUAAGAGGCCGCCGGGCGGCUUGACGGGCCGGAGGCGAGGCCAGGUAGCGCCGGCGAGCCUCGGCGGCGGGGCGACUCAACCAAGGCGGCUUCGCUGCAAUGGCGGAGGCCCUUGGGCGAUGCCGUGACGCAGGAGCAGCCGAAGGCGUUCGUUGGCGCGAGGGACGGUGGCAGUGCAGGUGAACUGGGUGGAUGAAGAGGAGUCGUGUCGGCGGCUCGCGGCAGAGGCAAGGCCGUGGGAACGCGGCGCCGGCGAAUUGGAGGCGCGAACCUGCAACGACGGACCAUCCGUGUCCGGGUCGUGGCCUUUUUUUUUCAAGGGCCAGACUCAUGUAGUAACCUCCUGCUGAUUUCCUUGUGUGCUUAGUACCGAUCGGAGUUGACCAAAGGGAUAAGGGAAACGGUUCAGUUCGGCGCACCGGCCGAAACUGGGCCGGUUCCUCCUCGUCGCGCAGCGGACACGCACGUGGACUCACGUGUCUGCUUGACUACCGCUCGUGAAACCUUAUCCUCACCCCCACGCGAAUAUCUAUCCAGUUUCUUUCCCUGCCGCUCUUCUCUCUGUCUCUCAAUCCCCACAAUCCCAACGCCGGUGACUGUGCUUGAGGGGUCCGUGCUUGAGGUGCGCCGCGAGCGGGGAGCUGCGUCCAUGAAGCGCCACCACGACGAGCUGCGCCCGCGGCCACGGCGAGCUGCGCGGCCGUGCCCAUCGAGCGAGGUCGUGGAGCGGCCGGCCUGUGGCGGAGGCUGUUUGUGUCCUCGGCCCGACGACGAUGCGCAGAGGGGACGCGCUGGGGACCCGGUGCUGGAACCGGCAUGGGGAUCUGCUUCAACCAGCAGCGGGAUUUGCUUCAACGGCGAGGAUGGUGGUGGACGGCGACAAAGGUGUCCGUCGUGGAGAGGACAAUGUCGGGCGACCACGGCCGCAGGUGCCAUGAUUUUUGCUGCACAGAUUUUUUGCUGGAACCAACAUUUUGACUUGUUGCAAUCGGCAAGGAUGGUGCUGGGGCAGCUACGGCGACGACGCCAUGAUUUUUUUGUUUGCUGCAUUGAUCUUUUUUCUUCUUUUGAGGAACCAUUUUUCAUUUUUGCUGGAACUAUAUCAAUUUUUUGUUGGAACCAUGUGUGCUUUUUGCUGGAACCAUAUCAAUGUAUUUCGCUGGAAUCAUAGCAUUUUUGCUGCAACCACAUUAUUAUUUGCUGGAACCAUAUUAAUUAUUUGCUGGAACCAUGUGGUUUGCUUUCAAGCUGGCAUUGCUUUGUUUUUUCUGCUGCAACCGACGAGCGGCGAUGCCGACGGCGAGCGACGAGCGUUGGGGAACCAGCGGAGCUUCCAGGUCGCGCGGGCAUGGAGGUCGCGCGGGCAUGGAUCGAUGACACUUUUUGUGUUUUGUUUCCUUUGUGCGUGCGGGAAAUGACAGAAAAAGGGAAGGAAGAGGAGAAGAGAUCUGAUGGUUCGCUACUUCCAAAUCGGAUGGCUAGCAGCCGACCGGCCGAGAGAUUAGGCCGGUGCGCCGGCGCCUAUCGUUGCCCAAGGGAUAAACCUAUUUGGCUGAGAUGAUGUACAAGUCGAAGAUGCCCUAGCAGUGAAAUCCUUGGGUUUGAUGCUUCAUGUGACGAAACAGUACUCUUGUCUGUAUUCUUUGAAAUUGAUACAUGGCCUCUGCCGCUUGUUGCUUU